CCACCAGGAGCCUGCGGCUUAAUUUGACUCAACAAGGGAAAACUUACCCGUCCCGGACACUGGAAGGAUUGAAAGAUUGUGAGUCCUUUCUUGAUUCGGUGGAUGGUGGCGCAUGGCCGUUUCUAGUUGGUGGGGCGAUUUGUGUGGUUAAUUCCGAUAACGGACGAGGACUCUAGCCUGUCGAAUAGGUGCGGGAUUCCCGGCACCUUGCAAACCUUCUUAGAGUGACAAGAGCCUCCUAGCCUCACGAAACAGAGCAAUAACAGGUCUGUGAUGCCCUUAGAUGUCCGGGGCGCUACAAUGAAGGAAGAAGCAUAUAUUUAUCCCUGUCUGAAAAAACUGGGUAAACCAUGGAACUUUUCUCGUGAUUGGAUGGAGGCUUGCAAUUGUUCCUCUUGAACGAGCAGUUCCCAGUAAGCGCGAGUCAUAAUCUCGCGUUUAAGACGUCCC
rnacentral:rRNA from 1 species